AUCUAUGGCGCAUGCUUCAACUAAUAAUGCCUAAACUUUCUACGCGGUUUUAAUCGUGAAAAAAAAAACAAUUAUAAAUCCUGAAGGAUCAAUUAAUUGGUAUACAGUUUAAUUAAAAAAAUUAAAAAACAAAUAAAUAAAAUAAUGUGCAUUCGCGUAAAGUUAGACCAAAUACAUUUUUUCCAUCCUCCUAUAUACCUAUCGCUAUGAAGGUAUAAAAAAGAUAGGUUAAGAGAUCACAUAGGUAAUAUAAACAAAUAAGUAAAUAUGUUCAUUAUUUAUCUUUCAAGAGAUAAUGUAGGUAUACAUUAUAAUAACAUUUUGACACAGUCGAAAUUAUAUUCCUAACAUUAGUAAAAUAACAUUUUAAUAAUUUUUUUAUAGGUUAUGUAUUGAAAUUGUUGGAAAAUUAUUUCAUGUUUUAGCUGGAAAACGACAUGGAGAAUUAUAUGCAAUACAAGAUAAUGAGCUCCAUCAAAUGAAUUCGAAUGAAACCAAACUGUUUACCAUCCAAAUUCGAUUGUCGGGCAGAUAGAAAACGAAAAUUCACUCAUAGUGAACAUCGGCCUGCAUUUGUGAAACGGCAAAGACUCACUAUUAUCAAGGAAAUUGAAGAGACGACUAAAAAUGAGAUGUGUCGUAUUAUUAUACCUUUGCCAUCUUGUAGUCAAGAUGUCCAGCCACUUGAAAAUAGGUGUAGUAAUGACAAAGCUAUCCAAGUAGCUCCAGCACAGGAACACAAAGGCAAGGCAAGUGUGUAUUGCCACAUCACCCCUUAAUAUAUCUGAAGCAAGUAUAAGUAAACAAUCAGAACCAGCAAAAAAAAAAACUGUUGUUCCUGAGGACAAAUUUGACAGUGAUGAGUCAAAUGCACCAGCAACAGAAGGAUCAACUGUUGACUAUGAGUUAUAGAAGAAGAAGAUUAAUUCAUAUUUAUUUAAAUUAAUAUUAAUGAAUAUUAAUUUAAAUUAUCGUGCAAAAUUCGUGGUCAAAACAUAUGUGUAUUUAUAAAUAAAUAUUCAUUCUCAGUAUUAAUGCUGCCUGUAAUAAUCUAAAUCUGUGUGAAAGGCAAUAAAUGAUUUUAUUAUUAUCUACCAAUGGUAGUCCAGUGGUCGAAAUUAGACCAUAAUUUAUUUAAAUUUUAAGUUUGAACAUUAUUAUAGUUCUAUUGUCACCUUUCUAUUAUCAUCAUUUCUAUAAUAAUCAUUGCUCUAUGUCACUAAGGCUACAUUAUAGAAAAAUAAUAUUAAAGACAAAAAAUAUUAAUCUAUUCUCAAUUUGACCACAGAUUGAUAAAUCAAUAAACAAAAAAAGUAUAAAUGCAUGUGUGUGUGUGUGUGUGUGUCAAAUAUAUGGUAUUGUGUGUAAGGUUUUUUUAUUGAUUUAGUUUAUUUUUUUAUUGUUUAUGCACUAUUAAAAAAAAUAUAUUAGCAAUCUGCACUACUUCUCUAUAUUCUCUAUAAGUGUGGGAAAUUUCAUAUUUCUCCGUCCGCGCAAUUUUCGUAAAAAGGGGUACAACAUUUUUGCUUCACGUAUUAUUUAAAAUGUAGGUUCUUAAUAAUAAUACAUAAGUGUUUUGAAAUAUAACUAAUCUUAAAUUUUUUAGUUAUACCACUUCCAUUCUAAAGGUGCUAUUUCGUAAACAAACUUUGCCGUAAUGGCGUAACCUUUAAAAUACACGAAAACUGCCCAGCAUAAACAUAAUUUUUUAGUAACUUUAAUAGAAGUAUUAGAAUUAGAAGUUUAUUAUAGAAUUUAUUUAAUUGUAAUUACAUAUUUAGACAUAGGUACUUAACAUAAUUAAUCUUGGAAUAGGUAAUUAUUUCAGCUUUUUUUUAAUUAAAGAAAUUAUGUUUUA